rnacentral:rRNA from 1 species
CACGUAGGGUGCGAGCGUUGUCCGGAAUUAUUGGGCGUAAAGAGCUCGUAGGCGGCUUGUCGCGUCGACUGUGAAAUCCCGCGGCUCAACUGCGGGUCUGCAGUCGAUACGGGCAGGCUAGAGUUCGGUAGGGGAGACUGGAAUUCCUGGUGUAGCGGUGAAAUGCGCAGAUAUCAGGAGGAACACCUAUUGCGAAGGCAGCUCGCUGGGACGUAACUGACGCUGAGACGCGAAAGCGUGGGGAGCAAACAGG